rnacentral:lncRNA from 1 species
AGUGGGGAUCAUGCAUCCACAUCUCAGGAUCAUUGCAAGGAGUGAGGACAUCUCAUAUAAAAAACUGGCCCAGGCAAGGCAUGGAAUAAAUGCCAGCUGUUAGAGCAGCUUCUGUAGGAAAGCAGAGCCUGCCUUGCAGCCACCCUACUGGCAGACAUGUCAACAGGAAGAGUGAGAAGUGAGCAAUGCCUCCUGAGCUGAUGCCUACAGAGAAGCUGUGACAAUCUGCCUCUAGAACAAUCUCAGCAAGCUGCCUGGCCCAGGGGAAAUCCAACCAUGAUGACUUGGCCCAGACUCUGCAAGAUACUUUCAAAUUGUUGGUGUUCACAAGGGACAAGCAACAGCUGAGCUCAUUCCCUUUCUAUCAGUUUGCAACAUCUGCCCCAGCCCUUACUGACAGUAGAGAAAAAUAAGGACUUUCCAAACACGCCUUUAGGCCACCAAACUUCACUGAGUUACUGGUCCAUUCCAGAAACCAGAUGUUUUACCUGGUCCCUGCACUGGCCAACAGCUUUGGAGUAUGGGUGCUGUCUCCUGGGAAAGACUGUGGGCUCCUUGAGGGCCCUGCCUUUUUGUUCUGUGUAGCCCCGGCACAUAGUAGAGCACGACACACAACUCAACACAGGCCAGAAGCCAGUUUCAGUUAUGCUUUUGUCCAUGUCAUGCAUGCCACUGGGAUGUCUGCAGAAGGAAGCAGUGAAGAAGCAGUCGUGAGAGGCGAUUCUUUCCAUGCGUUUUCUCCAGAAACCCUUGUGAGAGAUGAUUCUGUUCAUGCGUUUUCUCCAGAAAUGAGGUUGCAUGAAGGUCAUCUGCCUCUGUCAGAGCCAACUUUACAAGUGUGCGCUGAGCCUGGGACUUCCCGUGUGAAGAUGCAAGGCUGGCAGAAACCCAGACAGGCUUACUAAACUGAAAUUCAACUUCGACUUACUGCUGAGAGCAAAGGGCCAUAAUGAAGGUGUCUUCGUCCAUUUCGUGUUGCUAUAAAGGAAUACCUGAGACUGGGUUACUUAUAAAGAAAAUAAAGUGUAUUUGGCUCAUGAUUCUGAUGGUUGGAAACUUCAUGAUUGGGCAUCUGUCUCUGGUGGGGGCCUGGGGCUGCUUCCACUCGUGGCAGAAGGUGAAGGAGAGCUGGCGUGUGCAGACAUCACAUCUCAAAAGAGGAGGCAAGAGAGAGAUGGGGGAGGUGUCAGGCUCUUUUCAACAACUAGUUUUCUUGGGAACUGACAGAACAAGAACUCACUCACCCCACUGAGAAAAGGCAUUAAUCUAUUCAUGAGGGAUCCACCCUCAUGACCCAAACACCUCCCAUUAGGCCCCACCUCCAACAUUGGGGAUCAAAUUUCAACAUGAGGUUUGAAGGGGAUAAAUAUCCAAACUAUAGCAGAAUCUGAGCAACGAUUAGCAAGUGUCAUUAACAUGAAUACACAAAACCCACAGGUCUGGGGCUCCCACCAACUGGGUAAGGCCUCAGAUGCCUACAAAAUCCCUUUGAGUAUUUCCUGAGGUCCCAGAGUGGGGAAGGGGUUAUCCUACACAUACCCCCAAACAAGUUCAUGCUAGCUGGACAGCACCACAUCCUUGUGGCUGCCUGCGCAGGGCUGGGUCUAGUUUUCAUGGGUAGUCAAACUGUUGUCUAGGACAGGGUGCUAUAGUUCAGUGUUCUCCAGGAUGAAGCCUCAGGAUGUCAAAGUAGCCUCUCUUCCCA